CCGCCACUGAACAUUGGAAUAGUUUCAAACAUCAUCUUGUGAAACAACAGUGCCACUGGUCUAUAAUCCAGAUGAUUCUUUAACAGGUAGCUAUAAUAAUACACAUAGCGCCUCUGACUGGGAAUAGUUACUCCCUUUUUGUCUCUGGUCCUUACUUCCCCAUAGAAAUCUAGGGCCUCUUGUGCCUUUAAAAAUUUGCCCCGAUGUAAUAAAUAUGCACAUAUCAUUACACCAGUUCGU
rnacentral:lncRNA from 1 species